AGGGGUAUAUUUCAGUGGCAGAGCAUGUACUUCACAUGCACAAGGUCCUGGGUUCAAUCCCCAGUCCCUCCA
rnacentral:tRNA from 1 species